UAUACUGCANGUCGAGCGAACAGAUAAGGAGCUUGCUCCUUUGACGUUAGCGGCGGACGGGUGAGUAACACGUGGAUAACCUACCUAUAAGACUGGGAUAACUUCGGGAAACCGGAGCUAAUACCGGAUAACAUAUUGAACCGCAUGGUUCAAUAGUGAAAGGCGGCUUUGCUGUCACUUAUAGAUGGAUCCGCGCCGUAUUAGCUAGUUGGUAAGGUAACGGCUUACCAAGGCAACGAUACGUAGCCGACCUGAGAGGGUGAUCGGCCACACUGGAACUGAGACACGGUCCAGACUCCUACGGGAGGCAGCAGUAGGGAAUCUUCCGCAAUGGGCGAAAGCCUGACGGAGCAACGCCGCGUGAGUGAUGAAGGUCUUCGGAUCGUAAAACUCUGUUAUCAGGGAAGAACAAAUGUGUAAGUAACUGUGCACAUCUUGACGGUACCUGAUCAGAAAGCCACGGCUAACUACGUGCCAGCAGCCGCGGUAAUACGUAGGUGGCAAGCGUUAUCCGGAAUUAUUGGGCGUAAAGCGCGCGUAGGCGGUUUUUUAAGUCUGAUGUGAAAGCCCACGGCUCAACCGUGGAGGGUCAUUGGAAACUGGAAAACUUGAGUGCAGAAGAGGAAAGUGGAAUUCCAUGUGUAGCGGUGAAAUGCGCAGAGAUAUGGAGGAACACCAGUGGCGAAGCGACUUUCUGGUCUGUAACUGACGCUGAUGUGCGAAAGCGUGGGGAUCAAACAGGAUUAGAUACCCUGGUAGUCCACGCCGUAAACGAUGAGUGCUAAGUGUUAGGGGGUUUCCGCCCCUUAUGCUGCAGCUAACGCAUUAAGCACUCCGCUGGGGAGUACGACCGCAGGUUGAAACUCAAAGGAUUGAGGGGACCCGCAGCGGGGAGCAUGUGGUUAAUUCGAAGCAC
rnacentral:rRNA from 1 species